GAUGAAGAACGUAGCGAAAUGCGAUACGUAAUGUGAAUUGCAGAAUCCAGUGAAUCAUCGAGUCUUUGAACGCACAUUGCGCCCCCUGGUAUUCCGGGGGGCAUGCCUGUCCGAGCGUCAUUGCUGCCCUCAAGCACGGCUUGUGUGUUGGGCCUCCGUCCUCCUCCCGGGGGACGGGCCCGAAAGGCAGCGGCGGCACCGCGUCCGGUCCUCGAGCGUAUGGGGCUUCGUCACCCGCUCUUGUAGGCCCGGCCGGCGCUUGCCGACACAUCAAUCUUUUUUCCAGGUUGACCUCGGAUCAGGUAGGGAUACCCGCUGAACUUAAGCAUAUCAAUAAGCGGAGGA
rnacentral:misc_RNA from 1 species